GGCGGAUGUAGCCAAGUGGAUUAAGGCGGU
rnacentral:tRNA from 4 species